GGACCAUUUGCAUUAUAGACUAAAUUUUGAUCUAGACAAAAAUUUCAUCACAGCUUGAAAGAGCAUCACAAAAUUAGCAAUAUUCCAAAGUUUCGUUGCGAAAUGUUGUAAAAUGCGGAUAAUAUAGCCAUGCGAAGUUUGCCGUUUUUCAGUCAUUUUGUAUCACGCACGGGAAAUUGACAGCCCAAUCGGGUGUUGGGGCAUCAAUUUCCCGUUUGUAAUACAAAAUGACUGAAGAUUGCAAAUUUCGCAGGGCUAUAUUAUCCGGCGCAUUUUACAACAUUUCGCAACGAAACUUUGGAAUAUUACUAAUUUUGUGAUGCUCUUUCAAGCUGUGAUG